UAUAUUACAUUAAAUAUUCUGCAGAGUAUUUAUUAUUAUUAUAUUAACCUAUUUUCACAUCAACAGUCUAAAAGUAGUCUAAAGAUAGACAUUGCUUCUAUUUUGGUUUUGAUCAUUUCAAAACUACUUUUGCUUCUUCCUGCAGCUUCCAUCUUCUACCCCCCCCCCCCCCCUCUCUCUCUCUAUCUAUUUUCCCUCAAUUACUCUCUUUUCUCCCAACCACUUUUCUUCCUUUCUUCUUUCUAUAUGCUUGCUAAAUCCCUCAAAUUCGUCUCUCUUUAUUUCUUCUUCAUUUUCUCACAAUCUUUCAUUCAUUUAUAUGCAAUCUCUCAUAUUUUUUUUUGUUUUUGUUUUUCCAGGUUGUAGAUCUAUAUGAAGAUGCAAACUAACAUUAAAUGCUUUCGUAGGUUGUAGAUCUACGCGUAUCGUAGAUCUACAAAAAUGAAGGUGUAUAAGGUUAAACAACAUCGAUAAAAUAAAAAUUGAGGAAGGAAGUGGUUCUAAAGAGAUGUUGGCUUGCUCUCUACUGGAUUUGAGGAAACUUGCUUCUUGAAGAUUCUUAAUGAAUAAAUGUGUUAUGGACAGAUAAUAGUUUGUUUUGGGUCAUUAGAAACCAUCAACAGUAAAAA